rnacentral:rRNA from 1 species
AUUGAACGCUGGCGGCAUGCCUUACACAUGCAAGUCGAACGGUAACGGGCCUUCGGGUGCCGACGAGUGGCGAACGGGUGAGUAAUACAUCGGAACGUGCCCGAUCGUGGGGGAUAACGAGGCGAAAGCUUUGCUAAUACCGCAUACGAUCUACGGAUGAAAGCCGGGGACCGCAAGGCCUUGCGCGGACGGAGCGGCCGAUGGCAGUUUAGGUAGGUGGUGGGAGAAAAGCUUACCAAGCCGAAGAUCUGGAGCUGGUCUGAGAGGAUGAUCAGCCACACUGGGACUGAGACACGGCCCAGACUCCUACGGGAGGCAGCAGUGGGGAAUUUUGGACAAUGGGCGCAAGCCUGAUCCAGCCAGGCCGCGUGCAGGAUGAAGGCCUUCGGGUUGUAAACUGCUUUUGUACGGAACGAAAAGCCUUCUUUUAAUACAGGAGGGUCAUGACGGUACCGUAAGAAUAAGCACCGGCUAACUACGUG